UUUUUCUCCCCCUUACCUUCUCUUCUUGUAACUAGAUAAAAUAUCAAACUGAAGUAUUGGAAGCUAAGCAGGGUCGGGCCUGGUUAGUACUUGGAUGGGAGACCACCUAGGAAGAUCAGGUGCUUUGGCGUAAAAA
rnacentral:rRNA from 1 species